AUGAAUUACGGGGGGACUCCUACGGGAGGCAGCAGCAGGGAAUCUUCGGCAAUGGGGGCAACCCUGACCGAGCAACGCCGCGUGAGUGAAGAAGGUUUUCGGAUCGUAAAGCUCUGUUGUAAGAGAAGAACGUGUGUGAGAGUGGAAAGUUCACACAGUGACGGUAACUUACCAGAAAGGGACGGCUAACUACGUGCCAGCAGCCGCGGUAAAAU
rnacentral:rRNA from 1 species